GAUUGAACGCUGGCGGCAGGCCUAACCCAUGCAAGUCGAGCGGAUGAAGGGAGCUUGCUCCUGGAUUCAGUGGCGGACGGGUGAGUAAUGCCUAGGAAUCUGCCUGGUAGUGGGGGAUAACGUCCGGAAACGGGCGCUAAUACCGCAUACGUCCUGAGGGAAAAAGUGGGGGAUCUUCGGACCUCACGCUAUCAGAUGAGCCUAGGUCGGAUUAGCUAGUUGGUGGGGUAAAGGCCUACCAAGGCGACGAUCCGUAACUGGUCUGAGAGGAUGAUCAGUCACACUGGAACUGAGACACGGUCCAGACUCCUACGGGAGGCAGCAGUGGGGAAUAUUGGACAAUGGGCGAAAGCCUGAUCCAGCCAUGCCGCGUGUGUGAAGAAGGUCUUCGGAUUGUAAAGCACUUUAAGUUGGGAGGAAGGGCAGUAAGUUAAUACCUUGCUGUUUUGACGUUACCAACAGAAUAAGCACCGGCUAACUUCGUG
rnacentral:rRNA from 1 species